rnacentral:pre_miRNA from 1 species
UUAGGAAUCACCUGGGGAUCUUGUUAAAAUGCAGAUUUUGAUUCAUUAUUUAUGGGAUGGAGCCUGAGAGUCUGCAUUUCUAAGAAAUUCCCAGGUGAUGCUGAU